rnacentral:lncRNA from 1 species
AUGAAGCCUCCAAACUUGUUUCACCUCAAGGUUGAAAGCACGGAGGUGAAAUGAUCCAACUCCUCCAGCGUGCUACCUGUUAGAAACUUUCAUUUAGGAAGCCCCUCCAGAAAAAACAUCCUCGGAGCACAGAGGUUUCCCUUCUGCCAGCACACAAAUGAACCCCAAACAGAGCCCGCUUCAAAGCCGCCGCCUAAUGAGCCGCUCCCCACCCCGGUGCGACGAGGGCCCUAACGAAGCCUCGGCAGGACAAAGGCGCCAGCUUUGCUUUUUGAGCUUGCUCAGCGGAAUAAAAAAAAAAAAGAGAGAGGUAGAUGAGGGGGCAGGGAGCGGGGAUGCCGGCACAGGAGGGGCUGAUCCUUUUCCUCGGUGCCCCCUGGCACGUCUCCUCCCCUGGGGCCCACGUCCCGAGCCAACCUGAGCACCCCGAAGCCCCCCCCGAGCAUCCCGUGGAGAUUGGGGUUUGUGGGACCGGCCCCGGUGUGCUGGGGGCUGCCAAUACCGUCUGUAAUCCCCCUUCUGCAUCAGCCAGCUGAAGCCUCCUGGCCCCAAAAGCCUGCGGCAGGUGUAGGAACCAGCUAAGGGAAAACAAGGACGGCGGCAAAUGCUGGCUGCAGAGCCCCGAUGAAGAUCCUAGACAGGGAACAGGCUCACAGCGUUAUUUUUGUCUGGCUGAGGAAGCAUUUUCUGCCACAGAAAUGUGAAACAAACCUAAAAAUAAUGCAACUCUUGGCUGCGCUCUGCAGUUCCUGGCGCCACGUGGAAAUUUUCCCGUCCAGCGAGCAGCGAGGGAAUUUCCCCCGGGACCAGAUCCCCCUGGCGCACCCAGAACUGCCACCGCUGGCUCGGUCGAAGGGGAUCCCUGUGCCUGAGGAUUUGCAGUCUCCAUCGGCUCCUGCUUGGGCACAGCCCUGCAGCCACCUCCUCUGCACCACCACAAAGACUUGCAGAACCCAAACCCUUGCCUUCUGCCUCCAAAACGCACUGCAUCCCGCGGUGCAGAGGCAGGCUGGAGGCGGAGAGAGGUGAGGAUGGUGGGGAGGAAGAACUGCAA